GACGAACGCUGGCGGCGUGCCUAACACAUGCAAGUCGAGCGGGGAUGUAUUGAGGAAGUUUUCGGAUGGAAUCGAUAUAUUCUAGCGGCGAACGGGUGAGUAACGCGUGAGCAACCUGCCUUUCACAGGGGGAUAACGGGUCGAAAGAUUCACUAAUACCGCAUGAGACCACGAUACCGAGUGGUGUAGGGGUCAAAGGAGCAAUCCGGAGAAAGAUGGGCUCGCGUCCGAUUAGGUAGUUGGUGGGUUAAUGGCUCACCAAGCCAAUGAUCGGUAGCCGACCUGGGAGGGUGAUCGGCCACCCUGGAACUGAGAGACGGUCCAGACUCCUACGGGAGGCAGCAGUGGGGAAUAUUGGGCAAUGGGGGAAACCCUGACCCAGCAACGCCGCGUGAGGGAAGAAGGUUUUCGGAUUGUAAACCUCUGUCCUUGGUGAAGAGCAGAAGACGGUAGCCAAGGAGGAAGCCCCGGCUAACUACGUGCCAGCAGCCGCGGUAA
rnacentral:rRNA from 1 species